rnacentral:rRNA from 1 species
UACGGGGGGAGCAAGCGUUGUUCGGAAUUACUGGGCGUAAAGGGCUCGUAGGUGGCCAACUAAGUCAGACGUGAAAUCCCUCAGCUUAACUAGGGAACUGCGUCUGAUACUGGAUGGCUUUAGUUUGGGAGAGGGAUGCGGAAUUCCAGGUGUAGCGGUGAAAUGCGUAGAUAUCUGGAGGAACACCGGUGGCGGAGGCGGCAUCCUGGACCAACACUGACACUGAGGAGCGAAAGCCAGGGGAGCAAACGGG